rnacentral:tmRNA from 1 species
GGGGACGUUCCGGAUUUGACGGGGAGUGAUAAACUGGACGCAAAGCAUGUGGUAUUUUUCUUUGCAAUACCUAAAAGAACAAAGAAAUGCUUAAACGCAAACAAUAAUAAUGCCGUUGCUAUGGCUGCCUAAGUGCAAUUAGCAAUCUAAUAAAUGUGUGUCGAGUUUAUUAGAUAGGAUAGACACAAAAUUUUGAAAGGUGUCAAACUUUCAAUCUUAUUUUUGACUCGCUUAAAGAAAUUGUGUUUGUGCAAGUUUUUUAAGUUAAACCAAAUCACAAAAUAAACAUGUAGAAAAAUCCACUUUAUUCUUUUCGGACGCGAGUUCAACUCUCGCCGUCUCCACCA